UGCGCAGGCGGUUUUGUAAGACAGGCGUGAAAUCCCCGGGCUUAACCUGGGAACUGCGUUUGUGACUGCAAGGCUAGAGUGUGGCAGAGGGGGUAGAAUUCCACGUGUAGCAGUGAAAUGCGUAGAGAUGUGGAGGAAUACCGAUGGCGAAGGCAGCCCCCUGGGUCAACACUGACGCUCAUGCACGAAAGCGUGGGGAGCAAACAGGAUUAGAUACCCUGGUAGUCCACGCCCUAAACGAUGUCAACUAGGUGUUGGGGGAGGAGACUUCCUUAGUACCGCAGCUAACGCGUGAAGUUGACCGCCUGGGGAGUACGGCCGCAAGGUUGAA
rnacentral:rRNA from 1 species